GACGAACGCUGGCGGCGUGCUUAACACAUGCAAGUCGAACGGAAAGGCCCUGCUUUUGUGGGGUGCUCGAGUGGCGAACGGGUGAGUAACACGUGAGUAACCUGCCCUUGACUUUGGGAUAACUUCAGGAAACUGGGGCUAAUACCGGAUAGGAGCUCCUGCUGCAUGGUGGGGGUUGGAAAGUUUCGGCGGUUGGGGAUGGACUCGCGGCUUAUCAGCUUGUUGGUGGGGUAGUGGCUUACCAAGGCUUUGACGGGUAGCCGGCCUGAGAGGGUGACCGGGCACAUUGGGCCUGGAAUACGGCACGGACGCGUCCGGGAGGCAGCGGGGGGGAAUGUAGCACAAGGGGCGGAGGGCUGAUCCGGGCACGCCGCGUGGGGGAUGAGGGGCUUCGGGUUGUAGACCAAAUUCCCCUGGGAGGAGGCGUGAGUGACGGUAAUGGGAAAAGAAGCACCGGCUAACUACGUG
rnacentral:rRNA from 1 species